rnacentral:lncRNA from 1 species
AUUAGAUUUAGAUAUCCACCAAGAUAUUAUAAAUAUAAUUUAAAAUGAAUAAAAUACAACGAUAUAAAGAAUUAAAACAAAUUAUCUCUGAAAAACGUAAAGAAUUAAAAAUAAGAAUAGAAAGACUACAUUAUAAUAUAUUUGCCGGAGUUAGUAAAAAUUCAAUAGAUACACAAAAAGAUGAAAUAUCAAAAUUAGAAUCACAAAU